CGCUGGCGGCGUGCUUAACACAUGCAAGUCGAACGAUGAAGCUGGAGCUUGCUCCGGUGGAUUAGUGGCGAACGGGUGAGUAACACGUGAGCAAUCUGCCCUUGACUCUGGGAUAACUGCGGGAAACUGUAGCUAAUACCGGAUAUUUUCCCUGGUGGGCAUCCACUGGGGAAGAAAGAAUUUCGGUCAAGGAUGAGCUCGCGGCCUAUCAGCUAGUUGGUGAGGUAAUGGCUCACCAAGGCGACGACGGGUAGCCGGCCUGAGAGGGUGACCGGCCACACUGGAACUGAGACACGGUCCGGACUCCUACGGGAGGCAGCAGGUGGGGAAUAUUGGACAAUGGGGGAAACCCUGAUCCAGCCAUGCCGCGUGUGUGAAGAAGGCCUUUUGGUUGUAAAGCUCUUUUGUCAGGGAAGAAACACCGGCUCUAACACAGUCCGGGAAUGACGGUACCUGAAGAAUAAGCACCGGCUAACUACGUG
rnacentral:rRNA from 1 species